UUAACUAUUAUAUAGUACUCAGACAGUAUAGACAAACAGAGUUUAGGUCCUCUGGCAAGCGCCCGCCGGCCGGAGCCAGCAGCCCGAGGGCAGGCCUGCCAAAGCAACAAAGUGUAAUAAACAAAGGGUGGUAGGUUACCCGGGAGGCCUUGCGGCAACCCAGGCGACUACUGUAAUGAUCCUUCCGCAGGUUCACCUACGGAAA
rnacentral:misc_RNA from 1 species